AUACAAAUACUGAUGUGUUGCAUCAAUGAACCUGCAUCGCCCUGAGGAAAUAGCAGCAUCCCAGUUGUAAGCUGCUGUGCCUGAAGGUUUUGAAGCCCAGAUUGCCCGCCUGGUGGAAAUGUUUCUGGCGGAGUCAUACAGAUGCAAGCUCUGCCAGUUGACAAGCAGCAUCAAAAGUAAGAUCAGGACACACCUGGCUUAUAUGCAUGAAACAGAUCCAGCGUGUCAAAUUUCAGGCUGUCCUAAAAUGGACCAAGAUGAAAAUGAGUCAUAUAGCAUGGGAGAUGAAGCUAACCAAGAAAAUAAAGAAAACGAAGAAAAUCUUGCAAAAAAGAUCUGUUUUAUUACCUGUGUGUCAGAUGCUUCAAAAUAUGAGUCCUCACUGUUGUGACAUGAGCCCAAGCAGUCAGAGCAAUAAUCCUCACGCCUCUCACUCCUGUGAGUGAACACCUUGUUUGGAGAAGCAGCAGCUCAUUUGCAGCUUGAGGAGCCCUGUUCUGCAGUGCCGACUUCUCUUUCAUAUUCCAAGAGCAAAGAUGAAGCAGCAGCCCAGUCUGUGCAUCUUGGCCUCUGUUGUAUUUCCAGUGUUAGAACUCAGACCUUAGCUGGGGAGAUGAAAACCCUUAAAGCCGAAUCAAGGUGUAAAAAAUUACAAAAAUCAGAAGACAGCUAGAUGUUGAUAGUAAAGGGUUAGCUCAUCCUGUGAAAGAUGCUUGCGCUUUAAAGCUGGGUUCUGAGAGAGCGCAGCGUUUCUGCAACGUGUGUGAUGUAGCAAUGAAGUCGAAAGAUACUCAUAAAAUCCAUGAAAAGGGUCAUGAUGUGGAUUGUGGCUUUAAAUGCGUUUAUUGUCCAUGACUGAGUGGGACUUAAUGGGAAAUCAUUUAAAAUCACACAAGCGGAUAAAAGAAACCUACCAGUGCCUCAUCUGUGAAAGUGUUUUUAUGUCACAAAGUGCCUUGAAAGUGCACAGAGACAGCCAUCAGAGGAAACCCCAUCUCUUUCAGUGCACAAUGCAUUCAUCAUCUUUUGAAACUGAGCGGAUAAGAAAUCUUCAUGUAGCUUGCCAUUAUCAGGAUAUGUUUAAAUGUCCGCACAGUGAUUUUACCAGUCAUGUGACAUCUAGACUGUUUAGGGUCACUGGCUUCAGCUCCGUCAUGACAUCCUAACAUACACUGUGUUGGUGGUGAUGUAUUGACCACUGAACCACUCUGAAGCAUAGAGCUGGUGUACACUGCAUGGAGGGUCAGCGCUGCGGCAAUUUUAUAGUGAAAAUGUGCAUCCAAGAAUGAUAAUCUGUACUUCUGGGGUGGGUGUGAAUGGCAGUUAAACAUUGCUGAUCAGGUACUCAAAACCAGACGUCAGAUGAAUGGACAUCACAAACGAAUCCAUGAGAAAAAAAAACAAAUGAAAAACAAAUGAAAGAAGAAAGAAGGCUGAAGAUAAUCCUACGUGCUCCAAUACAAAAGCAACUAGAAAGAACGAUUCAAGUUAAUUUGCAUGUAGUACCAACGGUGAGAAGCCUUUCAAAUGUGAGAUCUGCUCUUACGCCUCCAUUGAUGCAAGGUCUCUGCAGCAGCACUUCCCAACACGUGCUAGUGAGAGGCCCUACAAAUGUUGACUCUGUUCAUAUAGUUGCAUUCAGAAGAAGCGCUUGGACUUUCACAUAUGCCGACAUCACACUGGUGAGGCAUUUGGCUGUAGUUUUUGCUGCUAUUCUUCCCCUGACAAACAACUUUUCCGAAAACACGUUAAGAAAUAUCACCUGGGUUCAGGAACCUCAUUAACCAGUUCCCAGCCCACCUUUACCCUCAAAUCACUUCCUGUGGAACAUUAGGUUCUUCACGCUUAAACUUCCACCAGAGCAUCCUGGCAAAUAAAGAAGCUGUUGGCAUUGUCGGACUUUUGUGCUGAAAGCCAGGGGUUAUCGGGAAGAAGAGAAGAAGAGGUCCUUAUGUGGCAAUUGGAAGCACUUAGGAUGGUCUUCCCAAAAAGCUUGGUGUGCGUUAUUGUAGAGGUGGUAACUCCAAUGUGCUGAGAGGAGCGUGGAGAUUUAUGUUGCAUAAGGGGUGGACAUGUUGAUUUUUGUUCUGGUUACCUCUCGCUGAUAUAUUCCGCUUACUUACAAAUGAAGAGUUUGACAUUUCAAGGCAGAAUCCGUUGAAAUGUACCAUAGCUGACAGUGAACCCUGCAGGUGGUUUCUGUACUACAUCUUUCAUUUUUAAUACAGGUCCCUAUAUAAAACAGUAAAUGAUUCAAGAAAAUCUACUGAUGGUGUAGCACUCAUAAUAUGGUAAAAAAAAAUCCAUUAAAUUUCUUCAUGGUUAUUUUGUAUAACAGAAUGUGUCUAUUAUCAUAAGCUAAUCCAGUGUUGAAGUAAAAAUAGAAACUAUUGA